GCAUUUACAAGGUCACAAUACAUUUCUUGUAUAAAUAUCGCGUGAAAGGCGGAAUUGUGGUAUACUUCUGCUUUACGUCGAAGGAUCAUAUUUGAUCUAAUUAGUGCAGUAUUUCGACCAACUGUUAAUUUUCACUUUCACAAUGGAUAAAACUCUACUUAUGCUGCUAGGAGUUAUUUUCACGGUUUUAUUGUUCACUGGUUCAUCUGUUGAAGCUAAUAAACCUCUAAACUAUAACUUUGGCAAUAGAUUUGGUAAUAGGAGAAACUUUGGUAAUAACGGUGGCUUUCGUCGAUCAAGCUUUGGUAACAACGGUGGGUUCCGUCGAUCAGGCUUUGGUAACAAUGGCGGGUAUCGUCGAUCCAGCUUCAGACGUAGUUUUGGUAGAAGAUAUUAUUCUGGGUCAUCAUCAUAGACUGACAUGAGAUUAUUUUUUGUAACAAUUCAGUUGUUAAUAAAACAAUAUAUAUAGUAUAAACAUUUUGUAUUUUAUUUUUGUUCACUGUAAAC